UGAUGAAGACCAGCGGCACCGUAGACUCCGCUCCCCGAUACGGUCCGAGUAAUCAGCCACACAGGUUAGAGGAUCCACAUCCAGCUCCGUUACAGCAAGAUCCAGCCAAGGAUCCCACUGGGAUUCCUCUGCCUGAUAGUCCGGAUCUCGCUUCCUUCGUGGCGCUCCAGUCACAGCAGUUGGCCCAGCAGGCACAGCAGUUGAGCCAGUUAUCCGCCAUGAUGCAGCAGUUGCUAACUGCACAGCAACCACAACCUCCUCCUGCUCUGGUGGUACCUCCUGCUCCUGCAGUCGUCUCCCGAUCAAGACUCAGUCUGUCUCUUCCUGAGAAAUAUGAGGGGGAUCCCAAGUCCUGUUGUGGUUUCGUUACUCAGUGCUCCAUGCACAUUGAACUCAUGGUGGAUCAGUUCCCUACAGAACGAGCAAAGGGCAAUGCUCCAUGUCACACAGACAGGUUAAUCAAGGUGUGGAUGGAGGACCAACAGAUCAAAACCCUGUCAAGACCAGCCUUAUCUCCAGACCUUAACCCCAUAGAAAACCUCUGGAAUUUGAUCUAGAGGAAGAUAAAAGAAGUGUUGCCUUUAGCUGUGUGCCUACAGCUUUUGCAAGACUACAACUGCCAGCAUGCCCGGAUGAAGCUGAUGCUGCUAUGGGACUCAUCAGUGUCCCAGGAGGU